rnacentral:rRNA from 1 species
GAUGAACGCUGGCGGCGUGCCUAAUACAUGCAAGUCGAGCGAAUGGAUUAAGAGCUUGCUCUUAUGAAGUUAGCGGCGGACGGGUGAGUAACACGUGGGUAACCUGCCCAUAAGACUGGGAUAACUCCGGGAAACCGGGGCUAAUACCGGAUAACAUUUUGAACCGCAUGGUUCGAAAUUGAAAGGCGGCUUCGGCUGUCACUUAUGGAUGGAACCGCGUCGCAUUAGCCAGUUGGUGAGGUAACGGCUCACCAAGGCAACGAUGCGUAGCCGACCUGAGAGGGUGAUCGGCCACACUGGGACUGAGACACGGCCCAGACUCCUACGGGAGGCAGCAGUAGGGAAUCUUCCGCAAUGGACGAAAGUCUGACGGAGCAACGCCGCGUGAGUGAUGAAGGCUUUCGGGUCGUAAAACUCUGUUGUUAGGGAAGAACAAGUGCUAGUUGAAUAAGCUGGCACCUUGACGGUACCUAACCAGAAAGCCACGGCUAACUACGUGCCAGCAGCCGCCGCAG